GAGCCAAUGACGCGACCCUCGAUCCACCCACCACGUUAUACUGCAUGUUGGUCACGUGCAUACAAUUUUGUACCAUACCUGAUAUCUGACCGGCACCACACUGACACACCACUACUCUUUAGUCUUUACCGGCGAAUAUGGAGAUUUCUCGCCGGCAACAUCUCCGAUCUCGCUGAAACCCUAACCAGAAGGUAUUUCUUGAUCGAUCUUCUCUCAGAGCCUGCUUACUGAUGCUGUUGUGAUGUUGUUUUUCGGGUUUGCAGAAGAAGAGAGGAUGAAGAGGAGGAAUUCGUUAUCAUCGUCGUCUUCGUCAUCUUCGUCAUCGUCAUCUGUUUGGGGGAAACUGCAAUGGAACGGGAAAAAAAUCGUUUAUCUGCUUCUUCUGUUGUUCUGCUUCACUACUUUCCUUCUACUGCAGUCGCCUUAUAAUCGUCUGGAAACAUCGCAAUCUUCUCCGUCGUUUUCUUCUUCGUCGUCGNNN
rnacentral:lncRNA from 1 species